ACAAAACAGUUCUGUAAACGUGUACUUUUCCUGAUUGUUCUCCAGGAGAAGCGAUGUGUGGAGGAUGAAGUGUUAAGCAGAAAUGUGUAUUGCUGCCUGUGUUAUUUAUCAGUUCUCUAAAUACAACUCCAUUGUGGAGGGAAAGAAAGAAAAGAAAUCGCCAAAUUACCAAUAUAAUCACAGCUGUCAGGAUAUGAUGGUGUUUCCAGAGUGAAGAAAAACAAAACAAAAGAGAUAAGAAGAAGAUAAAAAGGCCCCAUUUCUGUUAUUUGAAUCCACAUUCAGUAAUCCCUACUUCCUCAUCCUUCACAGAGAACUGAUUCAGUAUGCAUGGUGCUUGUCCAGGCACAGGUGUCUGUGAUCGUGAGGCAGCGCCCACUGGAGUGGGUGCAUGAGCCCUCUGUAUUGACAUUCCAUGUGUGUUUACUGGGACUCAUCAUUCUUCCAGAAGAUGACCUUGCAGUUCAGACAGUGAAGCACAAUUGCACUGCCACUUGAGUUUCCUGGUUUCCAGAUGUCUUCUGCAUUCCCUCCUUGGGGGAGGUCCCAAUAUGUUGGGAGUGAUUGGCACCAGGUUAUCGCUUUCCUUGUUGGUGACUUCUUAGGUCCUCUUCCAUAUAGACAGACAGACUCGUUUUAUGUGAAAUCUGAUCAUAAUUAUCCUCAUCUUCAAAUUUGUACGAAAGAAACUCAGGCCAAGUUUUAUUCCUCUUACUAUCGGUAUGGGACGAAUACUUUCUUUUUUGGCCUAGCUAGACCUUGU
rnacentral:lncRNA from 1 species